rnacentral:rRNA from 1 species
UACGUAGGGUGCGAGCGUUGUCCGGAAUCAUUGGGCGUAAAGCGCGCGUAGGCGGCCAGGUAAGUCCGGUGUGAAAGUCAAAGGCUCAACCUUUGAAUGCCGCUGGAAACUGUCUGGCUCGAGUCCGGGAGGGGCGAGUGGAAUUCCUGGUGUAGCGGUGAAAUGCGCAGAUAUCAGGAGGAACACCAAUGGCGAAGGCAGCUCGCUGGAACGGAACUGACGCUGGAGGCGCGAAAGCCGUGGGG